GACGAACGCUGGCGGCGUGCUUAACACAUGCAAGUCGAACGGAAAGGCCCUGCUUUUGUGGGGUGCUCGAGUGGCGAACGGGUGAGUAACACGUGAGUAACCUGCCCUUGACUUUGGGAUAACUUCAGGAAACUGGGGCUAAUACCGGAUAGGAGCUCCUGCUGCAUGGUGGGGGUUGGAAAGUUUCGGCGGUUGGGGAUGGACUCGCGGCUUAUCAGCUUGUUGGUGGGGUAGUGGCUUACCAAGGCUUUGACGGGUAGCCGGCCUGAGAGGGUGACCGGCCACAUUGGGACGGAGAUACGGCCCAGACUCCUACGGGAGGCAGCAGUGGGGAAUAUUGCACAAUGGGCGGAAGCCGGAUGCAGCAACGCCGCGUGCGGGAUGACGGCCUUCGGGUUGUAAACCGCUUUCGCCUGUGACGAAGCGUGAGUGACGGUAAUGGGUAAAGAAGCACCGGCUAACUACGUG
rnacentral:rRNA from 1 species